UACGAAGGGGGCUAGCGUUGCUCGGAAUCACUGGGCGUAAAGGGUGCGUAGGCGGGUCUUUAAGUCAGGGGUGAAAUCCUGGAGCUCAACUCCAGAACUGCCUUUGAUACUGAAGAUCUUGAGUUCGGGAGAGGUGAGUGGAACUGCGAGUGUAGAGGUGAAAUCCGUUGAUAUUCGCAAGAACACCAGUGGCGAAGGCGGCUCACUGGCCCGAUACUGACGCUGAGGCACGAAAGCGUGGGGAGCAAACAGG
rnacentral:rRNA from 1 species